rnacentral:rRNA from 1 species
AUUGAACGCUGGCGGAAUGCUUUACACAUGCAAGUCGAGCGGCAGCGCGGGGCAACCUGGCGGCGAGCGGCGAACGGGUGAGUAAUACAUCGGAACGUACCCAGUUGUGGGGGAUAGCCCGGCGAAAGCCGGAUUAAUACAGCAUACGACCUGAGGGUGAAAGUGGGGGAUCGCAAGACCACACGCAGUUGGAGCGGCCGAUGGCGGAUUAGCUAGUUGGUGGGGUAAAGGCCUACCAAGGCGACGAUCCGUAGCGGGUCUGAGAGGACGAGCGGCCACACUGGAACUGGGACACGGUCCAGACUCCUACGGGAGGCAGCAGUGGGGAAUUUUGGACAAUGGGGGCAACCCUGAUCCAGCCAUUCCGCGUGAGUGAAGAAGGCCUUCGGGUUGUAAAGCUCUUUCGGCAGGAACGAAACGGUGUGCUCUAACAUAGCCUGCUAAUGACGGUACCUGAAGAAGAAGCACCGGCUAACUACGUGCCAGCCGCCGCGGUAAAAC